rnacentral:lncRNA from 1 species
UUUCUCUUCUUUCUUUAUUUAUCUACAAUUUCCUGAAAUAAAAUAAAUAAGCGAUUAAUACUACGAAAAUAAACAAAAGAUAAGCAUUUAAAUAUGCAAAAAUAUGGACUAAUCAAACUUCCCCAUACCUAUCUUUUGCUCGUCCUCGAGUAAAAAUCAAAAGAAAAGAAAAUAAAGUAAGAAAACUAGAUGCGAUUCCUAGGCUCCUUUUCGUAGGCGUGACGGGUGAUUUUAGGUUCACCAACCCGUUAAACUCGUAGACGAUCUCUACAAGAGGAGUUUUGUCUCCUAAGGGUUUACAGAAGAUAUACCCAUAAAAUCUGUGAGACAUUCUAGCAAGUGUCUACUCGACUCUACUCUAAUUUCGCCGGUGUUAACAAAAAGCGUUUUUAAGGAAAAUACGACUCAAAGACUCUUUUACUAAUAAUCAAGAUACAGUUGUCUCUAAUCUACUUGAAAUCGACUCAAAAAUUUACUCGAAAUCCAAGGAGUGUAAUGAAUUUAAGGCCUUUGAUGGAUCCUAAUUGUCUAAGAACACUUCCUCUUUUUCAACCAAUAUUGAACUGACCCAAUCUCUAUCGAAACAAAUAUCUAGC